GACGAACGCUGGCGGCGUGCUUAACACAUGCAAGUCGAACGGUAAGGCUCCAGCUUGCUGUGGUACACGAGUGGCGAACGGGUGAGUAACACGUGGGUGACCUGCCCUGCACUUCGGGAUAAGCCUGGGAAACUGGGUCUAAUACCGGAUAGGACCAUGGUGUGGAUACUGUGGUUGAAAGUUUUUUCGGUGUGGGAUGGGCCCGCGGCCUAUCAGCUUGUUGGUGGGGUAAUGGCCUACCAAGGCGGCGACGGGUAUCCGGCCUGGGAGGGUGGACGGCGACAUUGGGACUGAGAGACGGCCCAGACUCCUACGGGAGGCAGCAGUGGGGAAUAUUGCACAAUGGGCGGAAGCCUGAUGCAGCGACGCCGCGUGGGUGAUGACGGCCUUCGGGUUGUAAACUCCUUUCACCAUCGACGAAGGGUUUCUGACGGUAGAUGGAGAAGAAGCACCGGCUAACUACGUG
rnacentral:rRNA from 1 species